GGCAACUGGAUCAUGGGAGCACUUUCCCCCAUGCUGUUCUUAUGAUAGUGAGUGAGUUCUCAAGAGAUCUGAUGGUUUUAUAAGCAUCUGGCAUUUCUCCCACUGGCAUUCAUUCUCUCUCCUGCUGCCCUGUGAAGAGGAGCCUUCAGCCAUGAUUUUAAGUUUCCUGAUGCCUCCCCAGCUAUGCAGAACUAUUUUUGCAUUUCUGACUACUGAUGGCUCCACCUGAACUCAUGAACUGGUCCUGUGGCUCCCACCCAGGAACCAACUCAGUGCAAGAGGAUGGCUUCGACUCUAUGAUUUCAUCUAUCACCCAACCAAUCAGAACUCCCCACUCCUUGGCCUCCUACCCACCAAACUAUCCUUGAAAAGCCCUAGUCUCUGAACUUUUGAGGGGACCAAUUUGAGUAAUAAUAAAGCUCCAGGCUCCCAUUCAGCUGGCUUGGCAUGAAUUAAUCUCUUUCUCUAUUGCAAUCCCCCUGUCUUGAUGAAUUGGCUGUAUCUGG
rnacentral:lncRNA from 1 species